CUUCCACUUAUCCUGAAUUAACAGAAAGAUGUUUUCCACUGUAGUGUCUCCCUGCAUUUCCCCACCUGGGAUGCUGAGCAUGCCUGAAACAACAUCUGUGUGUGUCCUGUGAGCCUACAUAUUCCAAUGUGACUAUCUGUGUUGCGGAACAUGACGUCUCUCUGGAGCUCUGGCCUUUCCUGAUACAUUUCUUCUCCCCUACCUGGAGGCACUCUGAUGUCUGGAGGGCAGAUGGAGACCCACAGAUUCCAGUCUAGGACCUUGUAAGAGUUCGCCCUUCAUCAGCAACGAGCAUGUCCUGUACCUAGAUCUUAGUUUCUGCAUGCCAUUCACUGCUUAAAGGAACCAGUGCUUCUUGCAGAAAUGAUCAAUUCCAGUCCUGGGAAAUAAAGAGCCAAGCUGUCUUUGAAAUAGCUUAUGACAAGGUCAUAUGCUUAUGAGCAAGGAGGUGCUCAAAGCUAAAUGGGUUCCUACUGUCAAGAUUGGAGACACUUUGAGCAUCAAUGAGAACAAAGAUGGUAUGGAUUACAAGAUACUGGCUGAAAAAUAAUCUGCAUGUCUAUGGUGAUAGAUUUUUGUUUACAUAUCACCACCAACUAAUAAGUGUGGAAGUAAUGAUUGAAUUAAAAAGCACCAUUUUGGGAGCACAAAUAUAACCACUGAGUUCAUCAUA